CAGUAGCCGCGGUAACACGAAGGGGGCUAGCGUUGCUCGGAAUUACUGGGCGUAAAGGGAGCGUAGGCGGAUGUUUAAGUCAGAGGUGAAAGCCCAGGGCUCAACCUUGGAACUGCCUUUGAUACUGGACAUCUUGAGUGUGGGAGAGGUAAGCGGAACUCCGAGUGUAGAGGUGAAAUUCGUAGAUAUUCGGAAGAACACCAGUGGCGAAGGCGGCUUACUGGCCCAUUACUGACGCUGAGGCUCGAAAGCGUGGGGAGCAAACAGGAUUAGAUACCCCUGUAGUCCCUGUCUCUUAUAC
rnacentral:rRNA from 1 species